rnacentral:misc_RNA from 1 species
GAUGAAGAACGUAGCGAAAUGCGAUAAGUAAUGUGAAUUGCAGAAUUCAGUGAAUCAUCGAAUCUUUGAACGCACAUUGCGCCCGCCAGUAUUCUGGCGGGCAUGCCUGUUCGAGCGUCAUUUCAACCCUCAAGCCCCAGGCUUGUGUUGGGGACCUGCGGCUGCCGCAGGCCCUGAAAACCAGUGGCGGGCUCGCUGUCACACCGGGCGUAGUAGAUUUUAUCUCGCUCAGGGCGUGCUGCGGGUUCCGGCCGUUAAAAAGCCUUUUUUACCCAAGGUUGACCUCGGAUCAGGUAGGAAGACCCGCUGAACUUAAGCAUAUCAAUAAGCGGAGGA